AACCCGCAGAUCUCCUGGGGCUCCUCGGAGCAGGAAAGGAGCCACAAAUCAGGGUGGGGGUGUGUUUGUCGGUGGAAGAAAUGGGACCAGAAGGGGUGCAGUGAUAGCAUGUGUGCCUGUGUGUUUGUGUGUUUUGUUGGCAAGAAUUCAGAGGGACAGGGCGGGAAGGAAAGGAGUCCAAGUGAAAUCUUAGAAAUAGCAGGUUCAAUUCAACUCAUUUCAAUUUAGCAAUUUGUUCUGAGGACCCAGUGCCUAGUGUGGGGCCCACAGUGCACACCCAGUGAAUGUUUGUUGAUGAGUGGAUGAGUGAAUGAUUUACCUCUCGUUUCUAAGCCCUCCCACCCCCGUAUUCUCACGUCUCACAAACAUGCACUGAGCAGCUGACUGCCAAGUUCUCUGCCAGCCCCUGGGCACACAUUCACCUGUCCAGCCCCUGCCCAGAGAGCUCCCGUCUAGGAGCUGGCCGACUGUGACUGACAGGGCAGGACGGUGAGGGGGUGAGGAGGGGGUCCUGGGACAACGUCACAGGCAGGUCCUUCCCUCGCUUGGAUGCUCCUCCCAGAACCCCCUCUGAUUCAGUCGCUCUGCCCACAGCUUGUCUCCAGCCCGGCUGUUCACCCUCCAGAACUCUGUGCUCCGGGGCUGCCUGGCAGCUGGGAGUCUCCUUAGAGUCUGGGCUCUUCUGGCAGAGGCUGAGGCUCACCAGUGUCUUCUGGCCCCUCCAUGAGUGAGGCAAACGGAACCCUUGUGGGGCCCUCGGAGCUCCCCACAACAUCAGCGGUGGCCCCUGGACCGGGCGGCGGGGCCCGGGCGUGGCCUGUGCUGGUAGGGGUUGUGUUGGGAGCCGUGGUCCUCUCUCUGCUCAUUGCACUUGCUGCCAAAUGCCACCUCUGCCGCAAAUACCGCGCCAGCUACCAGCACCGCCCGCUGUCUGGGACGGGCAAGGGGAACCGCCCCCAGGUGGGUGAAGAGGAGGAUGAUGGCUUCAUCGAGGACAAUUACAUUCAGCCCGGGGCUGGCGGGCUGGGGCUGGAGGGAAGCAGGGAUCACUUCUCCCUCUGAGCCCUGUCGUUGGCCCUGCCCACCCCCACCCCGAAGCCUGAGAGCUUAAGGCUGGCAGAUACUCCUCGGUGGGACCACAAGUCUCAGGGAUUGGUGGCCAGGGCUUCAGGGCUGACCGGGAGGAGAGCAGUGUCCCUUCCUUGAUGCUAGGCACCAAAGUGAACCACGCAUGACCAUCCCUUGCUCAGUAGCCCUCAAUGGCUCCCUGCCGCCCUCAGGAUACUGCCCACCAAGGGCCUGACCGUGAAAUCAGGUCUCUGCCAGCCCUUGGUUUCCUUUGUCACUGGUCCCUGACUUCCUCCCUACUGAGCCAAUUCCUUCGGAUUCCUCCCCCUCCUACGCUGCUGUUUCUUUUGCUCCUCUGCCUCUCUGCCCUCUUGUUCUCCCUAACAUAGAGGAUGCGCUCAUCCUCUGUAACAGUGAUGAAAAUCCCUGGCCAGUCGACCCUGUGUGGCCUGCCCACCUGCCAGCAUUUCAGAUGCGCUCAGACGGUCCCAUUUCAGCAGAUGAAAACCAGGGUGCCAAGUUUCUUACUGAGAUUGUUUUCCCAUCAAUAAAGUGGGUAAUCGAAAUGGUUAUAAUAUAUUCUGUUUCCACAGGUAUUAAUAAAUUUAUUUUCACUUUAAACAAGAAUAAAAGGAAGUCACUCA